rnacentral:rRNA from 1 species
AGUGAACGCUGGCGGUAGGCCUAACACAUGCCAGUCGAACGGCAGCACAGUAAGAGCUUGCUCUUACGGGUGGCGAGUGGCGGACGGGUGAGGAAUACAUCGGAAUCUACUUUUUCGUGGGGGAUAACGUAGGGAAACUUACGCUAAUACCGCAUACGACCUACGGGGGAAAGCAGGGGAUCUUCGGACCUUGCGCGGAUGAAUGAGCCGAUGUCGGAUUAGCUAGUUGGGGGGGUUAAGGCCCACCAAGGCGAGGAUCCGUAGCUGGUCUGAGAGGCGGGUCGCCCGCAUUGGAACUGAGCCACGGUCCAGACUCCUACGGGAGGCAGCAGUGUGGAAUAUUGGACAAUGGGGGGAAACAUGGUCCAGCCGUACCGAGUGGGUGAAGGAGGCCUUGGGGUUGUAAAGCCCUUUUGUUGGGUAAGAAACGCAUUAGGCUAAGACCCCGCUGUUCUGACGGUACCCAAUAAAGAAGCACCGGCUAACUUCGUG